GCAGACACAUUCCAGCCAAUCAGCAGCAGACCCUCCCUCCCAGACCCUCCCACCAGCAUCCAUGGACAGCAUCCAUUUUACAUUCAUUGUGAAGCUUCAUUCUUAGUGAGCUGUCCAGGAGGUGGGAGGGUCUGGGAGGGAGGGUCUGCUGCUGAUUGACUGGAAUGUGUCUG